rnacentral:rRNA from 1 species
AACGAACGCUGGCGGCAUGCCUAACACAUGCAAGUCGAACGAGAUCUUCGGGUCUAGUGGCGCACGGGUGCGCAACGCGUGGGAAUCUGCCCUUUGGUUCGGAAUAACAGUUGGAAACGACUGCUAAUACCGGAUGAUGACGAAAGUCCAAAGAUUUAUCGCCAGAGGAUGAGCCCGCGUAGGAUUAGCUAGUUGGUGUGGUAAAGGCGCACCAAGGCGACGAUCCUUAGCUGGUCUGAGAGGAUGAUCAGCCACACUGGGACUGAGACACGGCCCAGACUCCUACGGGAGGCAGCAGUGGGGAAUAUCGGACAAUGGGCGAAAGCCUGAUCCAGCAAUGCCGCGUGAGUGAUGAAGGCCUUAGGGUUGUAAAGCUCUUUUACCCGGGAUGAUAAUGACAGUACCGGGAGAAUAAGCUCCGGCUAACUCCGCGCCAGCAGCCGCAGUAA